CAAUAUUCUUUCAUGUGAUGGUCACUAUAUUCAAGGUAUAAUUUAUGCUAAUGGAUGACUCUCCUUUCUAACAGAAACAGAAAAACUUGUUGGUUAAUUUUCGAGUGAUGUCCCGAUGAUGGAACUAAAUCUGAACGUUAAAUUUAGUUUGAAAAUGUCCUUAUGGUGAAGGAACAAAAUUUCGGAAGCUUGGCCAUACGAUCCUGGAGUUCUGAACAUCACUUUCCGUCGCCGACUUGAAAGACGAACAAGGCCAGUCUGAACAGCUCCAUCUGAAGCCCCCUUUUCUGUACUACUCAUGCAGCUUGCUUCAGACGACCCUACUGCCUUAACGUGGUGCAGGCUGCAUCCUGUUUUGAAGUUAUCCGAGGAUGUACU
rnacentral:lncRNA from 1 species